rnacentral:rRNA from 1 species
CUUGAACGCUGGCGGCAUGCUUUACACAUGCAAGUCGAACGGCAGCGCGGGCUUCGGCCUGGCGGCGAGUGGCGAACGGGUGAGUAAUGCAUCGGAACGUGCCCAGUAGUGGGGGAUAGCUCGGCGAAAGCCGGAUUAAUACCGCAUACGACCUGAGGGUGAAAGCGGGGGACCGAAAGGCCUCGCGCUAUUGGAGCGGCCGAUGUCGGAUUAGCUAGUUGGUGGGGUAAAGGCUUACCAAGGCGACGAUCCGUAGCUGGUCUGAGAGGACGACCAGCCACACUGGGACUGAGACACGGCCCAGACUCCUACGGGAGGCAGCAGUGGGGAAUUUUGGACAAUGGGGGCAACCCUGAUCCAGCCAUGCCGCGUGCGGGAAGAAGGCCUUCGGGUUGUAAACCGCUUUUGUUCGGGAAGAAAUCCUCUGGGCUAAUACCCCGGGGGGAUGACGGUACCGGAAGAAUAAGCACCGGCUAACUACGUG